AUCCGCCCGCCCAUAAAUCAGG
rnacentral:siRNA from 1 species